UACGAAGGGUGCAAGCGUUAAUCGGAAUUACUGGGCGUAAAGGGUGCGUAGGCGGUUCGUUAAGUCUGUCGUGAAAUCCCCGGCUCAACCUGGGAAUGGCGAUGGAUACUGGCGAGCUAGAGUGUGUCAGAGGAUGGUGGAAUUCCCGGGUGUAGCGGUGAAAUGCGUAGAUAUCGGGAGGAACACCUAUGGCGAAAGCAGGUCUCUGGGC
rnacentral:rRNA from 1 species